rnacentral:rRNA from 1 species
UGCGUUCCAUUAGGCAGUUGGUGAGGUAACGGCUCACCAAACCUUCGAUGGAUAGGGGUUCUGAGAGGAAGGUCCCCCACAUUGGAACUGAGACACGGUCCAAACUCCUACGGGAGGCAGCAGUGAGGAAUAUUGGUCAAUGGGCGCAGGCCUGAACCAGCCAAGUAGCGUGAAGGAUGACUGCCCUAUGGGUUGUAAACUUCUUUUAUAUGGGAAUAAAGUUUUCCACGUGUGGAAUUUUGUAUGUACCAUAUGAAUAAGGAUCGGCUAACUCCGUGCCAGCAGCCGCGGUAAUACGGAGGAUCCGAGCGUUAUCCGGAUUUAUUGGGUUUAAAGGGAGCGUAGGUGGACAGUUAAGUCAGUUGUGAAAGUUUGCGGCUCAACCGUAAAAUUGCAGUUGAUACUGGCUGUCUUGAGUACAGUAGAGGUGGGCGGAAUUCGUGGUGUAGCGGUGAAAUGCUUAGAUAUCACGAAGAACUCCGAUUGCGAAGGCAGCUCACUGGACUGCAACUGACACUGAUGCUCGAAAGUGUGGGUAUCAAACAGGAUUAGAUACCCUGGUAGUCCACACAGUAAACGAUGAAUACUCGCUGUUUGCGAUAUACAGUAAGCGGCCAAGCGAAAGCAUUAAGUAUUCCACCUGGGGAGUACGCCGGCAACGGUGAAACUCAAAGGAAUUGACGGGGGCCCGCACAAGCGGAGGAACAUGUGGUUUAAUUCGAUGAUACGCGAGGAACCUUACCCGGGCUUAAAUUGCAUUGGAAUAAUUUGGAAACAGGUUAGCCGUAAGGCAAAUGUGAAGGUGCUGCAUGGUUGUCGUCAGCUCGUGCCGUGAGGUGUCGGCUUAAGUGCCAUAACGAGCGCAACCCUUAUCUUUAGUUACUAACAGGUCAUGCUGAGGACUCUAGAGAGACUGCCGUCGUAAGAUGUGAGGAANGUGGGGAUGACAUCAAAUCANCACGGCCCUUACGUCCGGGGCUACACACGUGUUACAAUGGGGGGUACAGAAGGCANCUACCUGGUGACAGGAUGCUAAUCCCAAAAGCCUCUCUCANUUCGG